rnacentral:siRNA from 1 species
AGCUCAAAUGGUUAGGUGUGCCC